AGAACUCUUCAGCUUGCAAAACUGACUCUGCGCCUAUAAACCCUCAGCCCUCAGCCCUCCCUACCCCAGCCCUGGCACCCAGCAUCCUCCUUCCUGCCUCCGUGAAGCUGACUACUCCAUGUAAGUGGGACCACACGGCGUUUGUCCUUUACGCCUGGUCUACUUGACUCAGCAUGAUGUCCUCGAGGUUUAUCCGCGUUGCAACACGGGUCCGAAUUUUCUCCUCUUUGCAAGCUGAAGAGUGCUCCAUUGUAUGUACAUACCACAUCUCUUUCCACUCUCCUCCUGUGGACACUCGGCUUGCUUCCUCCUUUCUCCUGUUGUGAGCAAUGCCGUACCUCGAUGGGUGCACAAACAUCUGUUUGCGGGCUGCUUUCGAUCUGUUGCUAUCACAGAUCAGAGGGUCAUUGUAGUUUAAGGAGCCGUCAUACUAGUUCCACGGAAGUAGAGCGUCGGCAUCCCCACCGGCAAUGCACAGGGUCCCCAUUUCACCAGACCUCUGCCAGCAUUUGCAAUUUUCUGUCUGUGGAUAAGAGUCAUCCUAACAGAACUACAGCUUCUACAAAACAGCAAGCCUAGAGGCAAGAAGACCCAGAUGUCCUCUGGAAACCAGGAGCUGAGCCAGGCCAAAGCGGCGGGAUAUUGUAUGGAGUAGCCGGCAUUCCACUUGGCCAGAUGGAGCACUUCGCACGAGGAUUACUCCAACAACAGUCUGAUCAGCGGGAUUAUCUACUAUGCAUAAAACUUAAAAUGAACAUAUUCUUUGUCUAGUACUCCAGUACUCCUACUUUAUGAAUUUGCCCAAAAAGGGCAAUUAUGUUGGUGGAAUAAAAUUUUAAAUCAUUAUGUAAGUUUCAGAUAAUACAAGCAGUAUAUCUUGUUUUUCUUUUAAAGCACAUAAAACAAGGUUACAGUUACAUAUAUAGUAAAAUAAAUCAUGCAUAAGAAUGAUAAA